AUUGAACGCUGGCGGCAGGCUUAACACAUGCAAGUCGAACGAGCGGCGGACGGGUGAGUAAUGUCUGGGAAACUGCCUGAUGGAGGGGGAUAACUACUGGAAACAGUAGCUAAUACCGCAUACCAUCAGAUGUGCCCAGAUGGGAUUAGCUAGUAGGUGGGGUAAAGGCUCACCUAGGCGACGAUCCCUAGCUGGUUUGAGAGGAGGACCAGCCACACUGGAAAUGAGCCACGGUCCAGACUCCUACGGUCGGCAGCAGUGGGGAAUAGUGCCCAAUUGGCGCAGGCCUUCUGCAGCCAUGCCGGUUGUGUUAAGAAGGCCUUCGGGUUGUAAAGUACUUUCAGCGAGGAGGCGUUACUCGCAGAAGAAGCACCGGCUAACUCCGUGCCAGCAGCCGCGGUAAUAC
rnacentral:rRNA from 1 species